UGUCGGAUGCAAUGGCUAGUUGCGGCUACGACAGGCGUUUUAUUGGCCGGUUGUUUUGACUGAAGGAUUUCCGUCGGCGUAACGUCGCAUGAAUGAAGGCGAAAUGCAUGUGAGAUAGAGAUGAAACACACAGACCUUCAUGAUGUUCCUCAACCACGAUCAGGUCGACUUCAACAUUGUUCGUCAAAGACCUCGGCAUUGACGUCCCAGGAGUUGCAUCAUGAUCCGGGAUCAUGCGAAGCAAAAUGUGUGAGCUUCUUAUAAAAUAAAACAGAAAAAUAAUGGAAAAUAAAAAACACGCCGUAAGAGCACGCGACUUGAUGCGUCGAGAGCCAACCAUUUCUUGAUUGUUUCCAAUAAAUGCGGACACCAAACGUCAGGUUUGAAUGUCUAACAAAGACCUCACGUAGAUGGCCCUUCGAGAUAAACCGGUUGAUAAGCGAAACGUUCCCAUUAUAUGCUCGUGAGCGGCGGUAAGAAUCGCUUUGCCCCUGUUAACAUCAUACGUUUUCGUUUAGAAUGUACGAUCUUUAAUUAGAAUACUAAUUGAAUGAAAUAAACAUAUUCGUCAAUUAAUUGUUACGAAACGGAA